UAAAAGGGCAUCUGCCGGGAUUGGCAUAAUUGUGGCAGGAAAUUUCUAACAAUUGUUUAUAAAUUAUUUUUUUAUCCCCAUUUCUCUCAAUUUGGAAUGCCCAAUUCCACUACUUAGUAGGUCCUCGUAGUGGCGCGGUUACUCACCUCAAUCCGGGUGGUGGAGAUCAAAAUUUCUAACACAAUUACAGAGUUGCUAUCAGGAGAUUUCGUAUGCACAAUUUUUAUAGCCCACAAUAUUAAAGGAUUGGUUCACCCACAAAUUUAUAUUCAGUCAUUGUUUACACACCCAUGUGUUGUUUUAACCCUUAUAUUA